AACGCACAUUGCGCCCCUUGGUAUUCCGAGGGGCAUGCCUGUUCGAGCGUCAUUUACACCACUCAAGCCUAGCUUGGUAUUGGAGUCCGCACACCAGCGGCUCUUAAACUCAGUGGCGGCGCCGGUUGGCUCUUCGCGUAGUAAUUCUCUCGCGAUAGGGUCCGUCGGUAGCUUGCCAGCAAUCCCAAUUUUUUUAAGGUUGACCUCGGAUCAGGUAGGGAUACCCGCUGAACUUAA
rnacentral:misc_RNA from 1 species